GACGAACGCUGGCGGCGUGCCUAAUACAUGCAAGGCGAGCGCGGAAGGGUGGGUCGGGGACCAACGGGAGGAGCAGCGAACGGGGGAGGAACGCGGGGGGAAGCGGCCGGGGAGCGGGGGACAACAGUUGGAAACGAAUGCUAAUACCGCAUAAAAACUUUAAACACAAGUUUUAAGUUUGAAAGAUGCAAUUGCAUCACUCAAAGAUGAUCCCGCGUUGUAUUAGCUAGUUGGUGAGGUAAAGGCUCACCAAGGCGAUGAUACAUAGCCGACCUGAGAGGGUGAUCGGCCACAUUGGGACUGAGACACGGCCCAAACUCCUGCGGGAGGCAGCAGUAGGGAAUCUUCGGCAAUGGACGAAAGUCUGACCGAGCAACGCCGCGUGAGUGAAGAAGGUUUUCGGAUCGUAAAACUCUGUUGGUAGAGAAGAACGUUGGUGAGAGUGGAAAGCUCAUCAAGUGACGGUAACUACACAGAAAGGGACGGCUAACUACGUG
rnacentral:rRNA from 1 species